rnacentral:tmRNA from 1 species
GGGGGCGUACCGGUUUCGACGGGGGUGUGGAGGCAGGAUAAGCGGGCGGUGGCGCCUGACCACCUUAAAACGGGCGACUUAUAAAUUAAAGAACAACACGAAUACUGUUGCUGUAGCUGCCUGAUUGCAGCUGCCGUCUGAACCGGAGUGGCCACAGACCGGGGAAGGCGUCGUUGAUGUGGCGGACGUGAGGCGCGAAAGAGUUGACGCGCCCAUGCAUCAUGACUCUACUCAAGCGUAAGGUCUGUCAAGUGUCCUUGCGCGGAGGGAAUGUUUAAAUCUUGACUGCGCCCGGAGAAAGUCCUGUUAAAGCGCUUUCGGACGCGGGUUCAACUCCCGCCGCCUCCACCA